rnacentral:rRNA from 1 species
AAGGCGCUUGAGAGAACUCGGGAGAAGGAACUCGGCAAAUUGACACCGUAACUUCGGAAGAAGGUGUGCCCUAUUAGUGUGAAGUGAACAACGGAGCAUGAAUGGGUUGCAAAAAAUCGGUGGCUGCGACUGUUUAUUAAAAACACAGCACUCUGCAAACACGAAAGUGGACGUAUAGGGUGUGACGCCUGCCCGGUGCUGGAAGAUUAAAUGAUGGGGUGCAAGCUCUUGAUUGAAGUCCCAGUAAACGGCGGCCGUAACAAUAACGGUCCUAAGGUAGCGAAAUUCCUUGUCGGGUAAGUUCCGACCUGCACGAAUGGCGUAACGAUGGCCACACUGUCUCCUCCCGAGACUCAGCGAAGUUGAAAUGUUUGUGAUGAUGCAAUCUCCCCGCGGAAAGACGGAAAGACCCCAUGAACCUUUACUGUAGCUUUGUAUUGGACUUUGAACAGAUCUGUGUAGGAUAGGUGGGAGGCUUUGAAGCAGGGUCGCUAGAUCUUGUGGAGCCAACGUUGAAAUACCACCCUGGUGUGUUUGAGGUUCUAACCUAGGUCCAUUAUCUGGAUCGGGGACAGUGCAUGGUAGGCAGUUUGACUGGGGCGGUCUCCUCCCAAAGUGUAACGGAGGAGUUCGAAGGUACGCUAGUUACGGUCGGACAUCGUGACGAUAGUGCAAUGGCAUAAGCGUGCUUAACUGCGAGACUGACAAGUCGAGCAGAUGCGAAAGCAGGACAUAGUGAUCCGGUGGUUCUGUAUGGAAGGGCCAUCGCUCAACGGAUAAAAGGUACUCUGGGGAUAACAGGCUGAUACCGCCCAAGAGUUCAUAUCGACGGCGGUGUUUGGCACCUCGAUGUCGGCUCAUCUCAUCCUGGGGCUGUAGCCGGUCCCAAGGGUAUGGCUGUUCGCCAUUUAAAGAGGUACGUGAGCUGGGUUUAAAACGUCGUGAGACAGUUUGGUCCCUAUCUUCCGUGGGCGCUGCAGAUUUGAGGAAGCCUGCUCCUAGUACGAGAGGACCGGAGUGGACGCACCUCUGGUGUAUCGGUUGUCACGCCAGUGGCAUUGCCGAGUAGCUAUGUGCGGAAGAGAUAACCGCUGAAAGCAUCUAAGCGGGAAACUCGUUCCAAGAUGAGAUCUGCCGGGGCCUUGAGCCCCCUAAAGAGUCGUUCAAGACCAGGACGUUGAUAGGUCAGGUGUGGAAGCGCAGUAAUGCGUUAAGCUAACUGAUACUAAUUGCUCGUGCGGCUUGACCCA